rnacentral:rRNA from 1 species
GAUGAACGCUGGCGGCGUGCCUAACACAUGCAAGUCGAGCGAACCCUUCGGGGUGAGCGGCGGACGGGUGAGUAACGCGUGGGUAACCUGCCCUGUACACACGGAUAACAUACCGAAAGGUAUGCUAAUACGGGAUAACAUAUGAGAGUCGCAUGGCUUUUGUAUCAAAGCUCCGGCGGUACAGGAUGGACCCGCGUCUGAUUAGCUAGUUGGUAAGGUAACGGCUUACCAAGGCAACGAUCAGUAGCCGACCUGAGAGGGUGAUCGGCCACAUUGGAACUGAGACACGGUCCAAACUCCUACGGGAGGCAGCAGUGGGGAAUAUUGCACAAUGGGCGAAAGCCUGAUGCAGCAACGCCGCGUGAGCGAUGAAGGCCUUCGGGUCGUAAAGCUCUGUCCUCAAGGAAGAUAAUGACGGUACUUGAGGAGGAAGCCCCGGCUAACUACGUGCCAGCAGCCGCGGUAAUACGUAGGGGGCUAGCGUUAUCCGGGAAUUACUGGGCGUAAAGGGUGCGUAGGCGGUCUUUCAAGCCAGAAGUGAAAGGCUACGGCUCAACCGUAGUAAGCUUUUGGAACUGUAGGACUUGAGUGCAGGAGAGGAGAGUGGAAUUCCUAGUGUAGCGGUGAAAUGCGUAGAUAUUAGGAGGAACACCAGUAGCGAAGGCGGCUCUCUGGACUGUAACUGACGCUGAGGCACGAAAGCGUGGGGAGCAAACAGGAUUAGAUACCCUGGUAGUCCACGCCGUAAACGAUGAGUACUAGGUGUCGGGGGUUACCCCCCUCGGUGCCGCAGCUAACGCAUUAAGUACUCCGCCUGGGAAGUACGCUCGCAAGAGUGAAACUCAAAGGAAUUGGGCGGGGACCCGCACAAGUAGCGGAGCAUGUGGUUUAAUUCGAAGCAACGCGAAGAACCUUACCUAAGCUUGACAUCCCAUUGACCUCUCCCUAAUCGGAGAUUUCCCUUCGGGGACAAUGGUGACAGGUGGUGCAUGGUUGUCGUCAGCUCGUGUCGUGAGAUGUUGGGUUAAGUCCCGCAACGAGCGCAACCCUUGCCUUUAGUUGCCAGCAUUAAGUUGGGCACUCUAGAGGGACUGCCGAGGAUAACUCGGAGGAAGGUGGGGAUGACGUCAAAUCAUCAUGCCCCUUAUGCUUAGGGCUACACACGUGCUACAAUGGGUGGUACAGAGGGUUGCCAAGCCGUGAGGUGGAGCUAAUCCCUUAAAGCCAUUCUCAGUUCGGAUUGUAGGCUGAAACUCGCCUAUAUGAAGCUGGAGUUACUAGUAAUCGCAGAUCAGAAUGCUGCGGUGAAUGCGUUCCCGGGUCU